AAUAGAUACCCCGGUAGUCCACGCCGUAAACGAUGAGUGCUAAGUGUUAGAGGGUUUCCGCCCUUUAGUGCUGCAGCUAACGCAUUAAGCACUCCGCCUGGGGAGUACGGUCGCAAGACUGAAACUCAAAGGAAUUGACGGGGGCCCGCACAAGCGGUGGAGCAUGUGGUUUAAUUCGAAGCAACGCGAAGAACCUUACCAGGUCUUGACAUCCUCUGACAACUCUAGAGAUAGAGCGUUCCCCUUCGGGGGACAGAGUGACAGGUGGUGCAUGGUUGUCGUCAGCUCGUGUCGUGAGAUGUUGGGUUAAGUCCCGCAACGAGCGCAACCCUUGAUCUUAGUUGCCAGCAUUUAGUUGGGCACUCUAAGGAGACUGCCGGUGACAAACCGGAGGAAGGUGGGGAUGACGUCAAAUCAUCGAUGCCCCUUAUGACCUGGGCUACACACGUGCUACAAUGGACGGUCAAAGAGCUGCGAACCCGCGAGGGGUAAGCCCAAGUCCCAUAAAACCCGGUUCUCAGUUCGGAUUGUAAGUCCUGC
rnacentral:rRNA from 1 species